ensembl:lncRNA
GUCCGCUCCUCUCCUCUUCCCCUCCUCUGUUAGCCCUUUUGUGGUAGAUUCUCCCCUUCGGGGCUUUUUGCCCCCUUCCUGGCAAAACAAUCUCCUCCGCUGCUCGUACAAAGGGCACUUUGGGUGUCUGGAUAAAAAAACGUGUAACUUGAUGUUCAUUGGACAGAUUUUUUUUCUUACCCCUAAGGGUGAGGACCUAGAAAAAAUGUGCUUCUCCCCUCGGCUUCACUAUCUUCUCUCUCCACCCCAACGCUUUUUCCUUCAUUCACUUUUAGUAGGGCUACGGAGAUUGUGGAGCGGGAAGGGGCGGGCGAGAGAGAGGCUGUGGCGAUUUUCCAAAGAUCUCCAAGGCCAGGGACACAAUAGACGCUGCGCGUUCCUGGCCCCCUACGAGCCCCGCUGAGCGUGCGCGUCUUGUCCGGGCGCCGGCCGGCACCUGAGCACUAAGUUUUCCCGCUGGACGUACUAAGAGGAGACAGAACGCCCGCCAAGAAACCGACACCCAGACCCCUGGAGAAGGCAAGGACCCGGCGGAUGGAAAGGCGAGACUAGCACGCACCUGCGCUAGAUGUUCGUUUUCAGUAGACAGGGCUUCCGCCUCUCCAUUGCCCUCCGGGUUAGUGAGUUAUUUGCCGCUAUCUCAGUGGGUAGGAAGAGGGGCCCUGAACACUGAGAUGAUUACCUCAAUUGCGUCUGGGGGCUUCCCCACAUUUCCCCGUCGGUGCUGGGCUCUCGGGAUAUUGGCAAGCAGAGUCUCGGGGGCUCUUGGCGCGCCGAUCGGUUUGGGGCUCUUCUCUGGGUGCAACAGGUCUGUUGAACCUGGAACCGAGAGGGGAGCAGCCGAGGUGACGUGGAGGGGCGGAGGGGCUGGGGAGGCUGGUUUCCAAGAGCCGCACUCCCGAGGUUGGGGAGCGCGUGCCCGUCUCCCCGCAGAGCGAGACGCCCGCGGCUGGAUGCAAACCAGAGGUCCCUACAACUCCGGCUGGCGAACCGCAGGUGGGAGCUCUCGGCUGCCAGGCUCCGGACAGGCCCCCAGCUCACCCCACUUCAGCUUCGUGGCCGCAAGAGGUAACCUUUCGCAAAGCCAAGCCCGGGGGCCCCUUGACUAACCUGGAAAGGGCCCGGGCAGGGACUUGGUCACCAUGGCCGGAGAGGAAAAUUGAUUGCUUGCUGUCCACUUCUUUCUGGAAAAAAGUCCCCUCCUACCCUGCCGCUCAAGCUGCAGAGCAAGGGCGCGGGGAGGAGGAUGAGGAGGGGAGGAAGCCUCUUUGGGGAAUACUUGCCUCCUCCCUGGCUGUCUGUCCGGUCCGCAGCCGCCAGAGUGGGAGACAGGUCUGUAGUUCCGACAAGGUCCGCUCCAGUGUCGACGCGGUGGACACGGCUGCGGGGGCCAGGGGACAACAGCUGCUUUAAAGCCGGGAGCAACCCACAGGUGGCCUGUCAGGGAAACGGACGUCCGUGACGUCAUCCUGAAGCCACCUUCACAGGCCAGACGUGGCUCACUUCCGGAGAGCGUACCCCACUCCUGCACCACUGCGGUGCCACAACUUGCACUCCAAGAGCCACCUGGCCCGAUCCUCACCUGUCAGGGUGGACAGACCGAGUCUCUAAAGCUCCCCCAUAGCUUCAGAAAACUCACAACCUGGCCAGAAAAUAACAAACCCGCCGCCACUGACCGAGCACACAUUUCGGGGAUUGCCAACGGCUGGCCAGCAAAACAAAUGAGACACAAGGGUGUUUUCUUGACCUCCCAGUGUUUUAAAUUUUGAAAUGCUUGUUGACAAAAUGGAGAUUUUUAAAGGAAAUCUGAGUUUUGCAGUGUCCCUUGAGCAGGGGGCAGGUGUGCUGCAUGCCUUAGAGAAGCCCUGAAACCUACAGAAAGGGCUGGGGUCCAGGCCUGCUUUUCUUUUUUACCCAUGUCACCAGCUAUUUGUUAUUAUCCUUUUUCUUUUUUCCUUUUAUUCUUUCGAUGAAAAAGAAUGAAAGUGAAAAAAUAGUUUUUUGUCUUUAUCUCACUUGUAAGCGUCCCAGUUUUUGCCCCCCUGAUUUCCCACAUUGGUCAGCAAAAGCUGCCAUGGUUUUUCUUAGAAGCGGUUCUUAACACACUUCUGGCUGUUGUCACACAGGUCCAACUGGCCUGACAGACUUCCAUGUUGCCCACAUCCUGACAACAGAGGCAGCAGGACACUUCCUCCUACGAGGCAGGAUUUUGAUUUGUUUUGUUUCUAUUUGGGGGUUUUAAAGUAUGCGGGUAUUUGGAAACACUUAAAAACCAAGUUUUUCAUUUAUUACGUAGAUAUUUGGUCACACAGAACUUUUUUUGUUUUUAAUUCUGGAGAUGGAAUCCAAGACCUCUUUAAAUUUAAGGAAUAAUAUCUCAUUUAUAAGUAUAUGGAAAAGUAGGGCUGUAGCUCAGUGGUAGCAUGCAUGAGGCCCUGGUUUCAAAUCCAACACACACAUACACACACACACUAAAAUAAAUGGAGAAAUGGGAAGAAGAAAGAAAAUUUGAAGCACUCUCAGACUCACCUUUGUCAUGCAAACCUAGCAGUGUUUUAUAAAUUCUGAUUAGUAGAGUAAAUACAGCCAUGAAAAAUUUGAACACAAUGAAACAAUAUUCAAAUAAAACCACCUUCAAAACCAGGGACACAUAGUUGCAUCUCACACAUUCUCUCUCACUCUGUCACAAUUAUAAGGACAGUCAUUAAAUGGGUAUUUGGAUAUGUGCAACAUAUAUGCUUCCCCUUAGCAGAAGAGCUCCCAACACCCUGCAAGCAGAAACAGGCUUUUAUUUUCAUUUACAUACUUGCUGUCCUAGCCCAGUGUCUGGGAAUUUUGAUUGCAAGCAAAGGCAACUUUGUAGCUCAGUAGUAAGUAGUUCAGUCAAUUUGGAUCUAUUCUAAAUCUUGUCCAAUGUGGACUGUUUCUGGCCUAUUCAGGAAAAUUAGAGCAGGGAGAAAAAUUCUACCACAUCACACUUUUUGUGAGAAACUGUUAGGCAGUGCUGGCGAACCUACGGCAUGCACGCUGCACCUGACACACAGAGUCCUCUUUGUCAGCAUGCAAUCCAAGUCGCCCCAGCAGCAGAGCAUCAGAUAACACUUGUCUUUUCUAAACUGAAAACCUCAGUAUUCGGGUUUAACUGCAGUGUUGGUACUUUGUGAUAAAGAAGCAGGUUUGGGGAUGUAGUUUGGGGACAUGGUCUCUGCCAUCUCUGCUGUUAGGUUUCUGGGUGGAGUUCUCCAAUUCUUCGUCUUGCUGAUUUGAUCCUUAACACAGUGUACCUCUGCUGGAGCCAUUUCGUUUGUAAGUUUAAGAGCUCUAGGCUGUAGAUGAAAUGAGAGAACAAUAGUAAUCAUCUAUCCAUUAUCUUAAAAAGACACUUGAUACUUCACCAAGCAUUUCACAUGGUAUAGCUGCCUUGAUAGCAGAGCUGCCUGUUCAAUAGAAGAAGAAGCAGAACUCUCACUGUUUAAUUCACUUGAGUUACCAGGGCUUUUUAUGCUAAAAAGACCCAUUGUCUCUCUUGCAUGAAUUAUCAAAAUUACAUAGUCAAUAGUUAAGAAAGUUAAACCGACAAUUUACAAAAAUGGGAAAACAACUGGUAUAUAUUUGGAAAUGUUUUGUCCUUUAUUUAAAAUAGAAAUGUGAAUUAUUCAGAAUAGGGUACCAAUUUCUCCAUACUGAAUUUAAAAAUAAAUCCAUUUCCCAAUUCUGGAGAGGGUGUGGUGAAAUACCUUGUGGCAGUUAAAAAUUUGUUGAAUCUAUUGGAAUGCAAUUUUGUAAGGUAUAUAAAGAAUCAUAAACAUGUUCAUGCCGUUUGAGCCAAUUCUUCUUUCUGAAUAUUCUAAUAAAAUAAUCCUAAAUACAGGAAAUACUACAAAUGUGAAGGUGUACAUUGUAGUAUUGCUUAAAAAAUUUUAAAGGGAAAACAAUGUAAAUAUUCAUGUAUGAGGGGCUGGAACAUCAACCACUGAAUGGAUGGAAUGUUCUAUCAACUUUAAUGCCUAUAUAUAUGCUGAAACAUGAGCAGAGAAAAUACCGUGAUAUACUAUCAAGGAAGGAAAUAAGCAGAAUGUAAAUUUGCCUCUACAGUUAUGGUUAAAGUAAUGGCUUAAAAAGCAUGCAUAGCUCUAGGGAUACAGCUCAGUGGUAGAACAUGUGCUUAACAUAAGCAAGGCCCUGGGUUCCAUACUAGCACGGUAAAAGGGGGGGCAUGCAUAUAAAAAGUAGAACAGAGGUAUAUCAAAAUGUGAUGAAGUUUUUAUAGGUGAAUUUCAAUUUUUUUAUCAUGUACCUCAAAUUUUCUGAAAUAUAAUAUAGUUUUUGUAAUUAAAAUGGAGUAUGAUAGAAAUAUAAGAGUGGGUGGUAUUUAUUAGGCAUCUAUUAUUUAUCUAGCACUGUUCAGAUGGGCAAAAUUAGGACAAGUGUGGAGACUGGCCCUCAGACCCACACAGGCUGUUUCAGAUCUUGCCUAGGGUAUUUGGUGACCGUGAGAUGGUUUGGCUGUAUCAAUAAAGAGCUGAUGAGAA